rnacentral:lncRNA from 1 species
GGAGGAGUAAGCCAAGGGAAGCCUAUGGGGGUGAAAGAGAUAAGAUAACCUUCUCGAGCCCAAAUGGGAGAAGGGAGGACCACCAGCAAAAGAGGGAAAAACUUGAGGGCCUGGCUGGCCUGGUGUGAAAUGGUGCUACACAUUCUCAGCCUCAUCUCAGAACAGGACAGAGCUACUCUGAAGGGGAAGUAUCCAUGGCCGGAUUCCAUCGGAGGUGCCACUAGGGAGCAAGCUGGGGUGAAGUCUCAGACUGGAAGACACUCGGACCUGUUCCAAGCCAGGGAGCAGGAGGCAGAAGCCGGAGGAGCGAGAGGGUGGCUGACUACCUUGGCCCCUGGGGGGUCAGAGCAGACCCUGGGACAGGGAGAAGCAGCGGAGAAAGGGCCUUUGAAUGACAGGGCUAAGGGAAGGAAACCUCGCUCUGGGACUGGGAUCGGGCAAGACUCUUUCUGCUCAGAAAAGGACAGGACUGAGCGCAUUUCAACAUCAGCAUCAGCAUCAACCACCACGAAUAUUCAGGGGUGUGAGGUGAAAGCUCAGCUUCGUCCUGAGAAGUCAGCAAAAGGAUCUCAUGAGAACCAAGUGAGUUUCCCCAGCCCAGACCUACAAGCUUCAGGGAACCUACAGGUAAUUCUGGAGCUUUAUAGGGAGUUUGGGG